CUCGAGGACCAGGAUUGCCCACCCCUACGAUAAAGUGUGCUGUGGUGAUGAAGUGCUCUGUGCCUGCAGUAGACCAGCGGUGUGCCAUGCAUGAUAAAAAGCGAACGGAUGGCAAGGGAAGCCUGAGGAAGGCUGCACAACCCAGCUGCUGGUGCAAAGCUGCAGGCCGGAAAACACACAGCAGGCCCAGAGGUGGAAAAACAUGAUUUAAAUGGCAGUAAAACAUGGAUGCAAAGAUCCUCUUGGAGCACCUAAUGGUGCCUCCAGAGCCUCACCUUGGAUUCACCUGAGGCUGCCUGUGUUGGAUCUCAAACCAGCCUUUUGACCUCCAUCAUGCCACACUCACCUUCCUGUAAACCUUAACCCUCCUCCCUGAGCCAGCCUCCUCAUCAAUCUCUAGAAGACAAAGACACAUUCUCAAGUUAUUCAUUCCUUAAUUCCCUUUCUGGUGAUAUCUUUCAUCUUCCCACAGAUUCCUCCCAAACUAAACGCCUUCAAUGUAAAUAAAGAUGCUUACUACUUGU